rnacentral:rRNA from 1 species
AUUGAACGCUGGCGGCAUGCCUUACACAUGCAAGUCGAACGGCAGCGCGGGGCAACCUGGCGGCGAGUGGCGAACGGGUGAGUAAUAUAUCGGAACAUACCCUAGAGUGGGGAUAACGUAGCGAAAGUUACGCUAAUACCGCAUACGCACUAAGGUGGAAAGUGGGGGAUCUUCGGACCUCAUGCUCAUGGAGUGGCCGAUAUCUGAUUAGCUAGUUGGUGAGGUAAAGGCUCACCAAGGCGACGAUCAGUAGCUGGUUUGAGAGAACGACCAGCCACACUGGAACUGAGACACGGUCCAGACUCCUACGGAGGCAGCAGUGGGAAUUUGGACAAUGGGGGCAACCCUGAUCCAGCAAUGCCGCGUGAGUGAAGAAGGCCUUCGGUUG